UAGAGUUGUGCUCCUUCUCUGCC
rnacentral:piRNA from 1 species